AUGACGUCAAGUCAGCAUGGCCUUUAUAUCCUGGGCUACACACACGCUACAAUGGGAAGGGACAAUAGGUUGCGAAGCCGCGAGGCGGAGCCAAUCCAGCAAAACUUCCCUCAGUUCAGAUUGCAGGCUGCAACCCGCCUGCAUGAAGUUGGAGUUGCUAGUAAACGCAGGUCAGCCAUACUGCGUUGAAUACGUUCCCGGGGGCUU
rnacentral:rRNA from 1 species